GUAGCCAGAGAGAGGAGGGUUGGCGAGCGUAGCAAGUACAAGGCGCAGCCCCCUAGUUUUAUGUAAUAAAAAAAUUAAAUCCUGUUAUUCAAAAUUGUACUGAACUGAGAAAACAGGCUACAGAGCCUUUCCACAGCAAACUAUUCCUGCGCUCAGUGUUGGCUGCAAAGUGUGCACCUGGCUUUGGAGGACAGCAAGCUAGGAUGGACUGAAGCCUUACCUAUGUAAGUCAAGGAAAAUGUUGGCAGAUACCAUCUUGCUCUAAUAAGGAUCAACAACAGUUAAAUGUUUAGUCAAGUUUUUAUUGUCUCCUUCCCAGAGGGUACAUACAAAUCAAGCAGGAUUUCCAGUUCCUCCAAGGAGGCCAGAAAGAGGUUAGUUCCCAUGCGUUUAAAAACAGCUCUUCUACCAGUACUGUUACACUGAAACAUUAAAAGCAGAAAUGAGGACUUUCAACCAGACCCUAAGGCUAGCCACGCGCAACAUGGACCUACAAACAACGUUAUGGAGCAUGAUAUGUACAGUUAUCUUUAAAAGACAUGAGUAAUAAAACCUCCACGAGGUGUCUGCACGCCAGGGAGGGUAGCUCCGCACAGUCCAGAAGGAGGAGCCGGCCCAGUUUUAGCAGCGCAAACCACAGUGUUAGGCUAAGAGGAGCCAAAAUGAGUUUGUGGAAGGAUAGCUCAGCGCCAGCAGGGCAGGCUGGGCCAACGCCAUCCAACCAACCUGGCAAGAUCCAGGGCUGAGAGUUCCUCUGGUUUCUUGUGCUUGGGGAGAAGGAAGCCUGGACCAAUCGCUUUGUUCUGAGGUGGUGGCGGCAGGCUGGCUUUUCUCCCCGUCAGAGCAGUUUUGGAGGGGAUGCAGUGCUACAGUUUAGGAGGCCCAAUGGCUCUGACUCAGUUUUGGGUGCAAGCAGAUGCAACCUCACUGAAUUUAAAUGGAGCUAAAACGCACAUGCUAGAGCUGUAUUUAACCAGGGUAGGAGGAUGCACCUGGAAGAAUCACGUGGGUAGGAAUCUUUCCCCAUCUGGGUCUUUUGAUCCUCUGAAUCCCCUGAAGCCAGAAGUCAGUUCACACCCACCAGUGCGGACUAGAUGUUCUCUCCUGUCCCAAAGGAGAAGAGAGGAGGAAGGCAAAGGGUGAACCUGUACUUUCUUUGACAAGGGAUGGGAGAGGAGGUAUCUGAGGUCUUGUCUACACUGUAAGAGAAAAUAGCAUUGGCAAUAGCUGUAUUACUGGACUAUUGUAGCUAACCGGGUUUCCCUGAUCAGUGUGAACGGGGGAGUUUUCCUGAGAACUGUUGGGUUUACUCUAUAGCGCUGUUUAGCUAGGAAUGCCUCAGGAAAAAGCCAGUCCAAACUGCUCAGAAUUAAGCACCACCAUCUACCCCUUGCUGCUAACACCAUUUCAACUGCUGUUGAGACAGAACUGCCCCUUCCCCCCACACGAUGCUCAAAUCCAAUCUUCCGUGGGACAGAAGUGGCUGUCAUCCUCCACAGCAGCAGUUAAGGGCCUGAACGAGAUGCAAUCGCACACAAUUCUUAAAAUUAUCACAGGGUUUGGGUUAAAAUGUUUUCUAAAAAGUAAUUUUUAAAGCUAGCCCCUAGGAACAAAAAAAAAAAAAAA